CUCACAACUUCAACUUCUUUCUAACAAUAUAGUUUUGCAGUUCUGACUGUUCUGAGUAUGAUCUUAUUCAUUCAGAAAUAUAAGCAUUGCACUGUAUUCAAUGGCAAGCUAUCCUGGAUUCCAGAGCCUUCAGUUGAUAAUAAAUUGAAAUAUCGUGAAGGCUCUGGUUCAACGGGAGGAUUCUUUGAUUAAACUGUGCCAAUCACAAAACAGAAUUAGCAGUUUUAGUACAGAUUUUGGGCGUGUUAACCCAUUAAGCGCCAGCGCUCUCCCCUUGACGAGUAAAAUCGUC